rnacentral:rRNA from 1 species
GAUGCACCGUAGUUUACUACACCGUAUUCUGUGAGUUGCGAACGGGUGAGUAACGCGUAGGUAACCUGCCUGGUAGCGGGGGAUAACUAUUGGAAACGAUAGCUAAUACCGCAUAAGAACAUUUACUGCAUGGUAGAUGUUUAAAAGGUGCAAAAGCAUCACUACCAGAUGGACCUGCGUUGUAUUAGCUAGUUGGUGAGGUAACGGCUCACCAAGGCAACGAUACAUAGCCGACCUGAGAGGGUGAUCGGCCACACUGGGACUGAGACACGGCCCAGACUCCUACGGGAGGCAGCAGUAGGGAAUCUUCGGCAAUGGGGGGAACCCUGACCGAGCAACGCCGCGUGAGUGAAGAAGGUUUUCGGAUCGUAAAGCUCUGUUGUUAAGGAAGAACGUGUGUGAGAGUGGAAAGUUCACACAGUGACGGUACUUAACCAGAAAGGGACGGCUAACUACGUGCCAGCAGCCGCGGUAAUACGUAGGUCCCGAGCGUUGUCCGGAUUUAUUGGGCGUAAAGCGAGCGCAGGCGGUUAGAUAAGUCUGAAGUGAAAGGCAGUGGCUCAACCAUUGUAGGCUUUGGAAACUGUUUAACUUGAGUGCAGAAGGGGAGAGUGGAAUUCCAUGUGUAGCGGUGAAAUGCGUAGAUAUAUGGAGGAACACCGGUGGCGAAAGCGGCUCUCUGGUCUGUAACUGACGCUGAGGCUCGAAAGCGUGGGGAGCGAACAGGAUUAGAUACCCUGGUAGUCCACGCCGUAAACGAUGAGUGCUAGGUGUUAGGUCCUUUCCGGGACUUAGUGCCGCAGCUAACGCAUUAAGCACUCCG